CCUUUGAUAGCUCAGUUGGUAGAGCGGAGGACUGUAGAUCCUUAGGUCGCUGGUUCGAAUCCGGCUCGAAGGA